rnacentral:rRNA from 2 species
UACGAAGGGGGCUAGCGUUGCUCGGAAUUACUGGGCGUAAAGCGCACGUAGGCGGCGACAAUAGUCAGAUGUGAAAGGCCUGGGCUCAACCCGGGAAUUGCAUUUGAUACUGUGUUGCUAGAGUCCAAGAGAGGGUAGUGGAAUUCCCAGUGUAGAGGUGAAAUUCGUAGAUAUUGGGAAGAACACCAGUGGCGAAGGCGGCUACCUGGCUUGGUACUGACGCUCAGGUGCGAAAGCGUGGGGAGCGAACAGG